ensembl:lncRNA
GCCAGAGGAGGAUGUAUAAUCAGGGAGGAUUUGGACAGGGAACAUGAGGAAGGAACGCAGAGGAGAGGAGCACCCAAGCAAAGGCUGGGAGGUAGGCCUGUACUUUUGUGCCAUGUUCCUCCCCCAAACCACUCUUCUGAUUCAGCCAAGUGCACCAGCAGAGCAGCUGACCUGGCCAGUCCAUAGGGUUCCCAUCGGGGGGCAGGAUGAAGGGUUUACUCUAUUCCACAGCCAGAAAAUACAAAGAAGACAGAAACAGACACUGACAGGCAAUGGGGACAUGUCUCUGUUCUUCUGGAACUCCGGGUCCAGGGAAGGACAAGGCAGGCUGGACACAGCUGAUGUGGACCAGACAAGAGAAGUACCCGGUGCCAACAAGACAGGGAAUGGACGGGACAUGCAGGCAGCUGCGUUCAGCUUGUGGCCUGAAGGACCUAGAAGGGGGUGUCGCAUAGCCUUUCAUCCUCCACAUGACUUUUCUCACCCCCUGGUUUCUUCUUCCCCCAGGGCAGCCUGGAUUUCCUUACUACGUGGUGGCUGGAUUCUGAGACAGUGAAAGCAGAAGCUUCCAGGCCCAGAAGUGGCAUGGUGUCACUUCUGCCAUAUUGUCUUGGUCAAAGCAAGUCCCCCAGACAAUAGGGAGGAAAUAGACUCCACUUCUCCCCAGGAAGAACUGUGAGUGGCCAUAAGGGAGGAUCAGAUGUGAUAGAGGAUGGGGAAGACAUCAGUGGAGUCCUAUCCAAAGGACAAGGCUAAAAGAAGUUGGGUUGCCCUUCUGCUUCCACCUGGACCACACCAAGUCAAGGCUAAGGGGCUCAGUAAAUAUCUGGAGAGGAGCAGAAGUUCCAUGAGCUUGGGAGAUGAUGUGAUGAUAAUGGUAAUAG